ensembl:lncRNA
AGGGUGGUGGAUGUCUAGUGUCCCUUAUGGCUCUAAUCUGAUAGUGGUAGUGGGGUGGUAGAUUCCUAGUGUCCCUUAUGGCUCUAAUAUGAUAGUGGUAGUAGGGUGGUGGAUGUCUAGUGUCCCUUAUGGCUCUAAUAUGAUAAUGGUAGUGGGGUGGUAGAUUCCUAGUGUCCCUUAUGGCUCUAAUCUGAUAGUGGUAGUGGGGUGGUAGAUUCCUAGUGUCCCUUAUGGCUCUAAUCUGAUAGUGGUAGUAGGGUGGUGGAUGUCUAGUGUCCCUUAUGGCUCUAAUCUGAUAAUGGUAGUGGGGGGGUGGAAGAUUCCUAGUGUCCCUUAUGGCUCUAAUCUGAUAGUGGUAGUGGGGGGUGGCAGAUUCCUAGUGUCCCUUAUGGCUCUAAUCUGAUAGUGGUAGUGGGGGGUGGCAGAUUCCUAGUGUCCCUUAUGGCUCUAAUCUGAUAGUGGUAGUGGGGUGGCAGAUUCCUAGUGUCCCUUAUGGCUCUAAUCUGAUAGUGGUAGUGGGGUGGUAGAUUCCUAGUGUCCCUUAUGGCUCUAAUAUUAUAAUGGCAGUAGGGUGGUGGAUGUCUAGUGUCCCUUAUGGCUCUAAUCUGAUAGUGGUAGUGGGGUGGUA